rnacentral:rRNA from 1 species
UACGUAGGGUGCAAGCGUUACUCGGAAUUACUGGGCGUAAGGCGUGCGCAGGCGGUUGUGCAAGACCGAUGUGAAAUCCCCGGGCUUAACCUGGGAACUGCAUUUGUGACUGCAUGGCUAGAGUGUGUCAGAGGGGGGUAGAAUUCCACGUGUAGCAGUGAAAUGCGUAGAUAUGUGGAGGAAUACCGAUGGCGAAGGCAGCCCCCUGGGAUAACACUGACGCUCAUGCACGAAAGCGUGGGGAGCAAACAGG